rnacentral:lncRNA from 1 species
UCUUCCUCAGCUGUAACCACUGAUGUUUCUAUUAUAUCAUGCUACUUUCCUGUGGUCACCAUUCAUCAACACACACACAAUGUCAUUUGUCAUAUAAAAGGAUUUGCUGUUCAAGAGUCUAGGGUCUGUUCUGUGUUAGCUAACAACUAUCCACCAUGGGACUUCUUAGAAUACUGCUCAGCAGGAAGUCAUGUUGUAAAUGAUUUGUUUUAUUUCAGUCAUGUCAUCCUGUGUAGCUCUGCAUUGCUUUAUCUGGGCUAUGGAAAUAGUUUUGAGUGUGAGUGGUCAGAAUCAAGCAGUGUUCUCUCACUUCAUCAAAUUUGGCACAUUUUCUCUCCAGACAAAUCCAAUGAACAUUUUGCAGACCUGCUAAUCUCAGGAAGACUGAAGUUUUUAGAAGGCUGCUCUUCAUAUUCAGGGGGCCCCAGUCCCAGCCAUAGAGGAAGCAUGGAGACGAAAACACAUUUCUGCCUGAAAUGACCUCCUAUUUUAAGAAAAAACAACAGCCUCAAAAGAAGGAAAGGAAAAACAAAGUUCCACCCAGAAGGAAAUUGUAUGUAAACAACCCAAAGGGAGACCAAGACGAGAGGGUUGGAAUACUGAAAUAAGCAACAAGCAAAUGGCCUCUGAUGUUGUCAUUAGCCUCUGACAAUGUCAGAAUUUGAGCUUUGAGACAACUGCUUUGUGAUUGACAAAAAAGGGGUUGGGGUGGGGGAGGAUCUGGACAAAAGCAAGCUGGUUAAAAGGUCCCCUCUGCAGCCGUGGAAACUUUGAUCUUUGAAGUUUGCCUAUUUUUUCAGGACUCUGCUAGCGUGUAACCCAGGGGAGAUCAGCAACCACAAAACGUUGGCUAUAAUUUUCUGCAAUUUGUCACAUGCCCUCUUGAAGCCCUGGUGAGAUGGUUUUCUUCUGUUUUUAAGCUGCGGAUGAUAGUAAAGGAGUUCAGGCAAGAUAAGAGCAAAUUGGAAUCUUCCCAAUUCUUCUAAGCCUGAAGACUACAUUAUCCUGCAGGUGUAUUUUAAUUUACUUUUUUUUACUGCAUGUGUAUUUGGUUUGGCUCACAUGGCAUUAAUUUUUCCCCCUCCUUUUGGAUCCAACAUUUAAAAAUAAAGAUAUUCCAAGUCAAAAUUGGAUUUCUAUUUACUCUAAAAAUCUGGUGGCAUGAGUCCCAGAUUCCUGUGGGGGCAAAGUCUGAAGCUGAGUACCUGCUGCCCUGUUCAGAUGGGGCAUGCACUUGACAUUCCGCUAGUCCAUCCUGCCAGCAUCACUCAAUUCUGUUACCUGUUUGCCCCAUCCAGGGAAAUUUGUAUUAGCCGAUCCAUAUACAUCUGAUCCAUACACAUCUUUAGGAAUAUUCCCUGCUUAAUCCAGAUUGCAACAGCCCGCUGAGAAGGAUUCUAAGCUGUGUCUGGGCUUGGCAUAAAAGUUAGGAUUAGCUGUUAAUGUUCUAUUUGGGCACAGAGGGAGUGGGUGGUAGCACAGAUGCCAAAUAUUUGUCCUCUCUGAUUAGUUAGACCUCUGUUUAAGCCUGUAUUUUACCUUUAAAUAGGAUCCUAUGCUUCUUAGUGCACUUUCUCUAUCAACAUUCUUGAAACUCAGUCUUAUUCAUUUCAUGUCCAAGCCUCUGAACAAACCUUCCAUAUAGAAUUUCAUUGAUUCUAGAAAUCUCACUACACCCAACUUCUUUUAAUCGACUUUCAACCACUUUACAAGCAGCUUCUGGUGUAAUUUAAAUAAGUGAAAGGGAAGGCAUUGACGCACUGUAGCACUGGUUUUAAGAUGACAGGUGAAGCAAUAGCCACUACUGUGGCCUCCAAUUAUCUUCCUAUGUAUCUACAUCUAUUAUUUAUCUAUCUAUCUAUCUAUCUAUCUAUCUAUCUAUCUAUCUAUCUAUCUAUCUAUCUAUAUCUAUCACCUACCUACAUACCUAUCUCUGUGUCUAUCCAUUUAGAGUCCUAGCUGCCUGCCUUUGGAAUCAGACUUAUAGGUUUUCUCUCUUCUUCUCCAAGGAGUUUUUUCAUACUCACCAUUGUUCUCUACCUACUGUCCCUUGGCCAACCCCUACAAUUAAUGGAGGUCAGUAGAUAACCAAUCCUUUCACACAAAGUGGCCUGCCAGAAGUCCAGGGGUGGGAACCUCCAUGAGCAGCUUUUCAAAGGCCUCCGACCCUUAAAUGAAACCUCUUUGGUACAUUUAUGAAUUUUGUUGUUGGAGUUACAAGAACCCUUAAGAAAAAUGCCUGAAAUCAGCUGGUCCCUGCCAUCAUUGAAACCCAAAGGGAGGAGCUCCACAGGCGAGGAACUGCUCCUUAGAUGUCUUGAAGUUGCUUGUAUUUCAAAAGAAUUCAGCUUACCACCACUGUGGCUUUUAGCCUCUCUAAUAAAGCAGUUUUUAAAAAGCUAAAAACGUAAUCUGCCUUUUAAAUCUGCUCUUCCUGCUGAGUCUAAAUGGGGUUGCAGCAAAGUGCCUGGCCAGCAUUAGAGUUCUCCGAAGUCAAUCAGCUGAAAUGGGGUUGCUUGGGGGUUUGAAAUAUAUUUGAAAACACUCCAGGGGUGGCACAAAAUAACUGAACAAAGGCAAAUUACAUGAAAGGAAGAAGCAGGUGGAGGUUUAUAAAACUAAAGAAUCACUUGUAUAUUUUGGAAACGUCAGAAAUUGAGACAGGGAUGCUGACCUUAGAAGUCUAUCUAUCUGAUCAUAAAUAUGUUUCCAUUUGGCAUUAGAGAAAGAUUGUGCUAAUGAACAUGGCUUCACAUACACAGACUGGAAUAGCCAAGGCCUGUAUAAAAUCUUUAAAGAAAUAUUCAUACCCAAAGAGGAACUGAGGCUAAAAUAGGUUAUAGGCAAGGAUGGGCAUUACCAUGAUGUUUUCUCAGCAGAUUUGAGUAGGACAAUAUCAUAAAGUUUCUUCACCUUAUUGAAAAGAUGGAAUUGUUCUCUUAGAAUUGACUUCUUUUUAAGCAGGCUCCAUGCCCAGCGUGGAGCCCAGUAUGGGCUUGAACUCAAUAUGUGUCUGAGAUCAAAACCUGAGUUGUGAUCAAGUGUUAGAUGCUUAACCCACUGAGCCACCCAGGCAUCCCAAGAAUUGACUUUUUGGUAAGACAAACUCUAGUUUGCUCUUAUAGCACAUGGGUAUAAACAUCAAGAUAAGAAUUUCCGUAGUAAAAAUCUAUCAUAGAUAAACUAAAAAAUUUUUAAUGAAGAUAAGAUUAAGAUUGUGACAUCUAACAUUUUAGACUCUCAAUAAUUUCCUGAAAGAUAAUGCAUCUAUAGAUAAAAGUCACUUAGAAUUAAGGUGACCUAUGGGUCAAUAAAUGUACAUUGUUGGUUACCCAACAAAAAUGUUACUUUUCUGAGGGCAGAUUUAGAUGACACCCAAGAGAUACUGCUCUAAAACCUUAAGAAAAAAAUGAGACCAGUUUUCUGAUAAAUUUGCUGGUUGAAUAACAUUAACUGUCUUAAAAUUUUUACUUGGUCAAAGUGAUUUCUCAACAUGAGAGGGGAGGAUAAUUUAGCAGUGUAAAAUGUACUGCAAAAAUAAUAAAUCUCUAUGCAAGAGGGUCUUUGGCAUUGUGUUUCCUAUAUUUUCAUUCUGUAGAGAACUUAGAGUGGACAAAAUUGCCAGAAGUUCUUGUUCUCUUUGUUAGAUGAUAGUAGGGAGGUAUGAACUUGAAAAUAUAGCUUUUGCCAGCACACAAUUGCUUGUUACCCUUUGAAGGCCAACAUGUGUGCUGAAAGAAAUGCCUCAGAACACUUGAGAAGGUGGAUGCAUAUGAGUAAAUUGUGAGGGAUUAAAGCAUUGGUUUGGAUAAGAAUGGAAAAAUUCAGUUGCUUAGCCAAGGCAGUUCCAAACGACUUUGAUCUAGAUAUCUCAGGAGAAAGAACUUGUGCCAUUCCAGCAUUUUCUGGUUUUGGCUAGGCAAUGCAUAUAGUAAAGAAAUAAAUACAAAAUAAAACCCAAAGUUUUUAAUGGGUUUUUAGAACUUCCACUUCUGGCUGCAAAUGGGAGACAAAAGGCAAAUAGAUAUUGUUUUAAAAAUGCUAAGCCAGGCUUUUUCUAACCUCAGGAAAACAUUGGGGUUUGAUUAGGUUCAGAUUUGGGGCAAGUUUCAGGAUAGUGUUUGUUCUAGCAACUUCCUCCCCAUCUCUGUGGAAAGUGUUGGUCUCUUGUGGUUCUGGAAGCCAUGCUGUAAAGGCUCUAGGCUGGGGCAUCAUGAAACAGACUCCAAUCUGUCAUUUGCGCCUCUGCCCACACUUUCUUCACUGUGUUCCUUGGACCUGGGCCUCCCCCGAUUGCAGGAGUCUUUCCAUGACUAAGCAGAGCCCAGACCUCUUCUUGUCUCAACUCUGUAUGGUACAGCAACUAUGUUUACCUCUUAUUUCCAACCAUCUCUUGUGUGUAUCAGCCUUUGUCUCCUUCAGAUGAGCAUCCAUUUCUGCCAAACUUCAUUCCACUGCUCGAGCUGCAUCUUGGAUUUGGAGGUUUUUCUUAUAAUCAGUUAGUUCUUUUGGUUGUAUUAUUCAUUCAGCCAGAAAUCUACUAUAUAUUUUCUAGAGGGAAAAUGGUGAUGUUUUCUGUAAAAUAAAAGGGGAUCAGGGAAGUAAUUAAUAUUUUGUGAGAAUCUAAUAUGCUCUAGACACUGUCCUAGAAGCUUUAUCCAGGAUAUCAGUUAAACUUAACAACAAUAAAAUCUAAUAGGAUAUAACAUGUUGCAUAAAGAUCAGUCAAAAGAGAUCAUUCAUGUCAAGACACUUUACACAGGGGAUAUAGUAAGAACUCAAUAAAUGUGAGUCAUUAUUAUUAUUUCUCCAAUACCUUCCUAGGAAGGAAGGAACUCAAUCUGUUUGUUUUUUUCAGAAUCUCUUACAAUGCCUUGCUAUUUAUAGGGGUCCAUA